ensembl:lncRNA
AGAAAUUGAUUCCUGAGCAUCCAGAAUUCCAACUGGAGCCAUCAGGAGGUAGAAGUUCUCAGAAACCUUGGGGAAGUGAGCUGCUAAUUAAGGAAGUACUGUCAUCUAGUGGUUAAGGAAGAUGACAAGGAAAUAAGGACUUGGAGAUUAUCAGACUGUGAGCAGGAGUUGACCUUACUAUAAAUCGAGAUUGUCUGAUCUGCUAUUGAGGGCAAAGACUGCAUUCUUAGAAAGGUGAUGAUUUAUGUAGUAGAUGCUCUUCUUAUGCUUUAUUGUAAAUACUGUGUGGAGAAAUAUGUCUCUUUAGCUCGAGUGUCCUUUUGUUGUUUCCUUAGCAUGCUUGAUUGUAAACAUACAUCAAGUUGUUUCCCUCAGGGGGCCCUGUUCAGAUGCAUCUUGAGUUACAUUAUGGUAAUAAUGUUCAAUCUUUGCAUUAAUAAUUACAACAAAUGUCUCCUGUUCAGCAAAGUAUUUUAUUUCUCUGUUUUCCUUGCUAUUAUGAAGUGCUGUUGCUGUGUAUUUUAUGCUGACAGUGCAGGUCACCUGUUCUCCAUGUGUUUUCCUUUUCUACAUUACGUGUGACUCUGGACAGUAGCAUCAUAAUAGGUGUAGCAGGGUUAGGGGCAGCCAAUCCAUUCAGUACAUAGAUCUGGCAGUGUAUCAAGUCUGAAUUUGGCUCACCAGGACCCAUGCAACAAAACUGGAUUUGAGGUAGUAUGCAGUAUUUACACUAACUGAUGCUCAGACAGACAGGGCUUCCCACGUUUCAGUUUGUUGAUCACCCUGGGAGCUGGUCGAGAAAAUGGGAUAGAAGACAGAGCUGUUCUUUCUCCUGAAUGAAAUGAGGGUGCUGAACUGCUGAGGAUGAUCUUGUCCCUGUGAACACUGGAAAGGAUGGG